rnacentral:rRNA from 1 species
UCGCGUCUGCUGUGAAAUCCGGAGGCUCAACCUCCGGCCUGCAGUGGGUACGGGCAGACUAGAGUGCGGUAGGGGAGAUUGGAAUUCCUGGUGUAGCGGUGGAAUGCGCAGAUAUCAGGAGGAACACCGAUGGCGAAGGCAGAUCUCUGGGCCGUAACUGACGCUGAGGAGCGAAAGGGUGGGGAGCAAACAGGCUUAGAUACCCUGGUAGUCCACCCCGUAAACGUUGGGAACUAGUUGUGGGGUCCAUUCCACGGAUUCCGUGACGCAGCUAACGCAUUAAGUUCCCCGCCUGGGGAGUACGGCCGCAAGGCUAAAACUCAAAGGAAUUGACGGGGACCCGCACAAGCGGCGGAGCAUGCGGAUUAAUUCGAUGCAACGCGAAGAACCUUACCAAGGCUUGACAUAUACGAGAACGGGCCAGAAAUGGUCAACUCUUUGGACACUCGUAAACAGGUGGUGCAUGGUUGUCGUCAGCUCGUGUCGUGAGAUGUUGGGUUAAGUCCCGCAACGAGCGCAACCCUCGUUCUAUGUUGCCAGCACGUAAUGGUGGGAACUCAUGGGAUACUGCCGGGGUCAACUCGGAGGAAGGUGGGGAUGACGUCAAAUCAUCAUGCCCCUUAUGUCUUGGGCUUCACGCAUGCUACAAUGGCCGGUACAAAGGGCUGCAAUACCGCGAGGUGGAGCGAAUCCCAAAAAGCCGGUCCCAGUUCGGAUUGAGGUCUGCAACUCGACCUCAUGAAGUCGGAGUCGCUAGUAAUCGCAGAUCAGCAACGCUGCGGUGAAUACGUUCCCGGGUCUUGUACACACCGCCCGUCAAGUCAUGAAAGUCGGUAACACCUGAAGCCGGUGG